rnacentral:rRNA from 1 species
UACGUAGGGGGCUAGCGUUGUCCGGAUUUAUUGGGCGUAAAGAGCUCGUAGGCGGCUUGUCGCGUCGUCCGUGAAAACCUGCGGCUCAACUGCAGGCUGGCGGUCGAUACGGGCAGGCUGGAGUUCGGUAGGGGAGACUGGAAUUCCUGGUGUAGCGGUGAAAUGCGCAGAUAUCGAGAGGAACACCAGAGGUGAAGACGGGUUGCUGGGCUGACACUGACGCUGAGGCGCGAAAGCCAGGGGAGCAAACGGG